CCUACGGGUGGCAGCAGUGAGGAAUAUUGGUCAAUGGACGCAAGUCUGAACCAGCCAUGCCGCGUGCAGGAUGACGGCUCUAUGAGUUGUAAACUGCUUUUGUACGAGGGUAAACCCCGGUACGUGUCUCGGGUUGAAAGUAUCGUACGAAUAAGGAUCGGCUAACUCCGUGCCAGCAGCCGCGGUAAUACGGAGGAUCCGAGCGUUAUCCGGAUUUAUUGGGUUUAAAGGGUGCGUAGGCGGUUUGAUAAGUUAGAGGUGAAAUGUCGGGGCUCAACCCCGAAACUGCCUCUAAUACUGUUAGACUAGAGAAUAGUUGAGGUAGGCGGAAGGUAUGGUGUAGCGGUGAAAUGCUUAGAGAUCAUACAGAACACCGAUUGCGAAGGCAGCUUGCCAACCUAUAUCUGACGCUGAGGCACGAAAGCGUGGGUAGCAAACAGGAUUAGAUACCCCAGUAGUC
rnacentral:rRNA from 1 species